rnacentral:rRNA from 1 species
GACGAACGCUGGCGGCGUGCUUGACACAUGCAAGUCGAACUGUGAAGCUCCAGCUUGCUGGAGUGGAUCAGUGGCGAACGGGUGAGUAACACGUGAGCAACCUGCCCCUGACUCUGGAAUAAGCGCUGGAAACGGCGUCUAAUACUGGAUACGAGAAGGGUCCGCAUGGGCACUUUCUGGAAAGUUUUUCGGUUGGGGAUGGGCUCGCGGCCUAUCAGCUUGUUGGUGAGGUAAUGGCUCACCAAGGCGACGACGGGUAGCCGGCCUGAGAGGGCGACCGGCCACACUGGGACUGAGACACGGCCCAGACUCCUACGGGAGGCAGCAGUGGGGAAUAUUGCACAAUGGGCGAAAGCCUGAUGCAGCGACGCCGCGUGAGGGAUGACGGCCUUCGGGUUGUAAACCUCUUUCAGCAGGGAAGAAGCGAAAGUGACGGUACCUGCAGAAGAAGCACCGGCUAACUACGUG